AUAUCAAUAAGCGGAGGAAAAGAAACUAACAAGGAUUCCCCUAGUAACGGCGAGUGAAGCGGGAAGAGCUCAAGCUUAAAAUCUCUGCGCAAGUUUUGCGCGGCGAAUUGUAGUCUAUAGACGCGGCAUCAGUGCGGCCAUUCGGGGUAAGUUCCUUGGGAGAGGACAGCAAUGAGGGUGAUACUCCCGUUUGUACCCGAGUGUGUUGCACGUACGAUGCGUGUUCUUUGAGUCGCGUUGUUUGGGAAUGCAGCGCAAAGUAGGUGGUAAAUUCCAUCUAAAGCUAAAUAUCUACGAGACCGAUAGCGCACAAGUA
rnacentral:rRNA from 1 species